UUCUGGCUCCCGUUGUCUCGCGUUCCGUCGUUGCUCUGGUGCCCUGGACUGCUGUGAAUGUGUUUUUAUGCCCUACUAGUGUUGCCUGGGGGUGCUUUUAUGUGUGCACCCUGGAAGAUAGGUCCAGAAGCCUUGCGAUUUCUUAGAUUAAAGCUAAGUGUACUCGUGACCCUACCAGCACUUUUCAAGAUACUUUCGACGUAUUCAUUGCGGUGAACAACGCGGUUGGGACAGCACACUCACGACGUGGGAAGGUCACAGAAAUGUUGAAAGACAUCAGAUUGGGCAUACGCUUCACCCGUGCAACUUCGUCAUGUGCUCCACGGCAGCACAAGCCUUUACGGCUGUGCCACUGUAUGUAAAAAAUGCUGAGUGAUUUUAAUAAAGAAUUUGCAGGGAAGUACAAUGUGUCGCACCUUGUUGACUCUUUUACAGAUGUGUGGAAACGUCGUAGCGGAUGAAUGUGAAUUAUGGAUCUCCAAGUGGCGUCGCCCGCGUCAUUUUCAAGAUUUUACCCGUUUUGAAGGCAAUAGGGCUGUUGAUAGGGAGA